rnacentral:rRNA from 1 species
UACGAAGGGUGCAAGCGUUACUCGGAAUUACUGGGCGUAAAGCGUGCGUAGGUGGUUUGUUAAGUCUGUCGUGAAAUCCCCGGGCUCAACCUGGGAAUGGCGAUGGAUACUGGCAAGCUAGAGUGAGGUAGAGGAGAGUGGAAUUCCCGGUGUAGCAGUGAAAUGCGUAGAGAUCGGGAGGAACGUCAGUUGCGAAGGCGGCUCUCUGGACCAUCACUGACACUGAGGCACGAAAGCGUGGGGAGCAAAC